rnacentral:rRNA from 1 species
AUUGAACGCUGGCGGCAGGCCUAACACAUGCAAGUCGAGCGGAGCGGCGGACGGGUGAGUAAUUCCUAGGCAUCUGCCUGGUAGUGGGGGAUAACGUCCGGAAACGGGCGCUAAUACCGCAUCCUAUCAGAUGAGCCUAGGUCGGAUUAGCUAGUUGGUGGGGUAAAGGCCUACAAAGGCGACGAUGCGUAACUGGUCUGAGAGGAUGAUCAGUCACACUGUAACUGAGACACGGCCCAGACUCCUACGGGAGGCAGCAGUGGGGAAUAUUGGACAAUGGGCGAAAGCCUGAUGCAGCCACGCCGCGUGUGUGAAGAAGGUCUUCGGAUUGUAAAGCACUGUAAGUUGGGAGGCGGUACCAAAAGAAUAAGCACCGGCUAACUUCGUGCCAGCAGCCGCGGUAAUAC